GAAGGUAUAGCUCAGUGGCAGAGCACAUGCUUAGCAUGCACAAGGUCCUGGGUUCAAACCCCAGUGCCUCCU
rnacentral:tRNA from 1 species